rnacentral:piRNA from 1 species
UAGAGGACUUGGAGGGGCCUGAAUUGG